AUUGAACGCUGGCGGCAUGCCUUACACAUGCAAGUCGAACGGUAACGGGCCUUCGGGUGCCGACGAGUGGCGAACGGGUGAGUAAUGUAUCGGAACGUACCUUUCAGUGGGGGAUAACGUAGCGAAAGUUACGCUAAUACCGCAUAUUCUGUGAGCAGGAAAGCAGGGGAUCGCAAGACCUUGCGCUGAUUGAGCGGCCGAUAUCAGAUUAGCUAGUUGGUGAGGUAAAGGCUCACCAAGGCGACGAUCUGUAGCGGGUCUGAGAGGAUGAUCCGCCACACUGGAACUGAGACACGGUCCAGACUCCUACGGGAGGCAGCAGUGGGGAAUUUUGGACAAUGGACGCAAGUCUGAUCCAGCCAUGCCGCGUGUGUGAAGAAGGCCUUAGGGUUGUAAAGCACUUUCGGCUGUGAAGAUAAUGACAGUAGCAGAAGAAGAAGCUCCGGCUAAAUUCGUG
rnacentral:rRNA from 1 species